rnacentral:ncRNA from 1 species
UUACUAAAAAUAGCCAUUGGCGCUCUCACGAGCUUAAUAGGGAACCCUGUGGAAUUCAGGGACGGGCCCGCCGCUGUAACCGGGGACGAAUGCCGGAACGAGUCACUGUUCGACGAACAUCGAAUGGGAAGACCUGGCAUGUAGGAUGAACCGGGAGUCAGAAGACCUGCCAGAGCUAUUCGAUGUCU